rnacentral:rRNA from 1 species
UACGAAGGGGGCUAGCGUUGUUCGGAAUUACUGGGCGUAAAGCGCACGUAGGCGGAAUGUUAAGUCAGGGGUGAAAUCCCGGGGCUCAACCCCGGAACUGCCUUUGAUACUGGCAUUCUCGAGUCCGGAAGAGGUGAGUGGAAUUCCGAGUGUAGAGGUGAAAUUCGUAGAUAUUAGGAAGAACACCAGUAGCGAAGGCGGCUCACUGGUCCGGUACUGACGCUGAGGUGCGAAAGCGUGGGGAGCAAACAGG